GAACCGCGUGAAGGAUCAUUAAUGAGAGGGGUUUUGGACUCCAGGGGCUUCGGCCCUAACUCUACACCCCAUGUUUACAUACCUUUUGUUGCUUUGGCGGGCCUUGGGGGUCUCCCCCUCCCGGCGACGGGCUCCACUGCCCCGGCCGGUCCGUGCCCGUCAGAGGCCCAGUAAACUCCGUUUUCUCAGCGACGUCCGAGCAAAAACAUAAUCGCAAAAACUUUCAACAACGGAUCUCUUGGUUCUGGCAUCGAUGAAGAACGCAGCGAAAUGCGAUAAGUAAUGUGAAUUGCAGAAUUCAGUGAAUCAUCGAAUCUUUGAACGCAUAUUGCGCCCCUUGGUAUUCCGGGGGGCAUGCCUGUUCGAGCGUCAUUGCACCCCUCAAGCUUAGCUUGGUAUUGGGUCUUCGCCCCCGUGGCGGGCCUGAAAGUUAGUGGCGGUCCGGUGUGACUUCGAGCGUAGUAACUUUCUCCCGCUUUGGAAGCUCACGCUGCGGCCGGCCAUCACGCCCCAUUUUUUCUAUGAUUGACCUCGGAUCAGGUAGGGAUACCCGCUGAACUUAA
rnacentral:rRNA from 1 species